UGACGCAGCGACGCCGCGUGCGGGAAGAAGGCCUUCGGGUUGUAAACCGCUUUCAGGAGGGACGAAGCCACUCGGGUGAACAGCCCAGAGGGUGACGGUACCUCCAGAAGAAGCCCCGGCUAACUACGUGCCAGCAGCCGCGGUAAUACGUAGGGGGCAAGCGUUGUCCGGAUUCAUUGGGCGUAAAGAGCGUGUAGGCGGCCAGGUAGGUCGGUUGUGAAAACUGGAGGCUCAACCUUCAGAGGUCGACCGAAACCAUCUGGCUAGAGUCCGGGAGAGGAGAGUGGGAUUCCUGGUGUAGCGGUGAAAUGCGCAGAUAUCAGGAAGAACACCCGUGGCGAAAGCGGCUCUCUGGAACGGUACUGACGCUGAGACGCGAAAGCGUGGGGAGCGAACAGGAUUAGAUACCCUGGUAGUCCACGCCGUAAACGAUGGGCGCUAGGUGUGGGAGGUGUCGACUCCUUCCGUGCCGCAGCUAACGCAUUAAGCGCCCCGCCUGGGGAGUACGGCCGCAAGGCUA
rnacentral:rRNA from 1 species